rnacentral:rRNA from 1 species
UAAAACGUAGGACGCAAGCGUUAUCCGGAGUUACUGGGCGUAAAGGGCGUGUAGGCGGCUCUUCAAGUUCGUCGUGAAAGACCCCGGCUCAACCGGGGGAGGUCGAGGGAGACUGAGGAGCUGGAGGACGGUAGAGGGACAGGGAAUUCCGGGUGUAGUGGUGAAAUGCGUAGAGAUCCGGAGGAACACCAGUGGCGAAGGCGCUGUCCUGGGCCGUAACUGACGCUGAAACGCGACAGCAUGGGGAGCGAACGGGAUUAGAAACCCCGGUAGUCCAUGCCGUAAACGAUGUCGACUGGGUGUUCGGCUUCCGGAAGGGAGCGGGGUGCCGUAGCUAACGCGCUAAGUCGACCGCCUGGGGAGUACGGUCGCAAGGCUA